GCUGAGAUGUCCGAGCGGUCUAAGGAGCUGGAUUCAAGUCCCAGUAGAGAAAUCUGCAGGGGUUCGAAUCCCCUUUUCAGCA
rnacentral:tRNA from 1 species